rnacentral:rRNA from 1 species
UACAGAGGUCUCAAGCGUUGUUCGGAUUCAUUGGGCGUAAAGGGUGCGUAGGCGGCGCGGUAAGUCGGGUGUGAAAUCUUGGAGCUUAACUCCGAAACUGCAUUCGAUACUGCCGUGCUUGAGGACUGGAGAGGAGACUGGAAUUUACGGUGUAGCGGUGAAAUGCGUAGAUAUCUGGAGGAACACCGGUGGCGAAGGCGGCAUCCUGGACCGAGAUUGACGCUGAGGCGCGAAAGCCAGGGGAGCAAACGGG